rnacentral:rRNA from 1 species
UUAAAUUGAAGAGUUUGAUCAUGGCUCAGAUUGAACGCUGGCGGCAGGCUUAACACAUGCAAGUCGAACGGUAACAUGAGUGCUUGCACUUGAUGACGAGUGGCGGACGGGUGAGUAAAGUAUGGGGAUCUGCCGAAUGGAAGGGGACAACAGUUGGAAACGACUGCUAAUACCGUAUAAAGUCGUAAGACCAAAGCAUGGGACUUUCGGGCCAUGCGCCAUUUGAUGAACCCAUAUGGGAUUAGCUAGUAGGUGGGGUAAAGGCUCACCUAGGCGACGAUCUCUAGCUGGUCUGAGAGGAUGACCAGCCACACUGGAACUGAGACACGGUCCAGACUCCUACGGGAGGCAGCAGUGGGGAAUAUUGCACAAUGGGGGGAACCCUGAUGCAGCCAUGCCGCGUGUAUGAAGAAGGCCUUCGGGUUGUAAAGUACUUUCGGUGAUGAGGAAGGUAAUGUAUCUAAUAGGUGCAUUAAUUGACGUUAAUCACAGAAGAAGCACCGGCUAACUCCGUGCCAGCAGCCGCGGUAAUACGGAGGGUGCGAGCGUUAAUCGGAAUGACUGGGCGUAAAGGGCAUGUAGGCGGAUAAUUAAGUUAGGUGUGAAAGCCCUGGGCUCAACCUAGGAAUUGCACUUAAAACUGGUUAACUAGAGUAUUGUAGAGGAAGGUAGAAUUCCACGUGUAGCGGUGAAAUGCGUAGAGAUGUGGAGGAAUACCGGUGGCGAAGGCGGCCUUCUGGACAGAUACUGACGCUGAGAUGCGAAAGCGUGGGGAGCAAACAGGAUUAGAUACCCUGGUAGUCCACGCUGUAAACGAUGUCGAUUUGGAGUUUGUUGCCUAGAGUGAUGGGCUCCGAAGCUAACGCGAUAAAUCGACCGCCUGGGGAGUACGGCCGCAAGGUUAAAACUCAAAUGAAUUGACGGGGGCCCGCACAAGCGGUGGAGCAUGUGGUUUAAUUCGAUGCAACGCGAAGAACCUUACCUGGUCUUGACAUCCACAGAAUCUUGUAGAGAU